rnacentral:rRNA from 1 species
UGCAAGUCGAACGGCAGCACGGACUUCGGUCUGGUGGCGAGUGGCGAACGGGUGAGUAAUGCAUCGGAACGUACCCGGGAGUGGGGGAUAACUAUCCGAAAGGAUAGCUAAUACCGCAUAUUCUGUGCGCAGGAAAGCAGGGGACCUUCGGGCCUUGUGCUCCCGGAGCGGCCGAUGUCAGAUUAGCUAGUUGGUGGGGUAAAGGCCUACCAAGGCGACGAUCUGUAGCGGGUCUGAGAGGAUGAUCCGCCACACUGGAACUGAGACACGGUCCAGACUCUUACGGGAGGCAGCAGUGGGGAAUUUUGGACAAUGGGGGCAACCCUGAUCCAGCCAUGCCGCGUGAGUGAAGAAGGCCUUCGGGUUGUAAAGCUCUUUCGGCCGGGAAGAAAUCGCGUUGGCUAAUACCCAGCGUGGAUGACGGUACCGGAAUAAGAAGCACCGGCUAUCUACGUGCCAGCAGCCGCGGUAAUACGUAGGGUGCGAGCGUUAAUCGGAAUUACUGGACGUAAAGCGUGCGCAGGCGGUUUUUAAGAUAGGCGUGAAAUCCCCGGGCUCAACUGGGAACUGCGCUUAUGACUGGAAGACUAGAGUAUGGCAGAGGGGGGUGGAAUUCCACGUGUAGCAGUGAAAUGCGUAGAGAUGUGGAGGAACACCGAUGGCGAAGGCAGCCCCCUGGGCCAAUACUGACGCUCAUGCACGAAAGCGUGGGGAGCAAACAGGAUUAGAUACCCUGGUAGUCCACGCCCUAAACGAUGUCAACUAGUUGUUGGGAGGGUAAAACCUUUUAGUAACGGAGCUAACGCGUGAAGUUGACCGCCUGGGGAGUACGGCCGCAAGGUUAAAACUCAAAGGAAUUGACGGGGACCCGCACAAGCGGUGGAUGAUGUGGAUUAAUUCGAUGCAACGCGAAAAACCUUACCUACCCUUGACAUGCCAGGAACUUGCCAGAGAUGGCUUGGUGCCCGAAAGGGAGCCUGGACACAGGUGCUGCAUGGCUGUCGUCAGCUCGUGUCGUGAGAUGUUGGGUUAAGUCCCGCAACGAGCGCAACCCUUGUCGUUAAUUGCCAUCAUUUAGUUGGGCACUUUAACGAGACUGCCGGUGACAAACCGGAGGAAGGUGGGGAUGACGUCAAGUCCUCAUGGCCCUUAUGGGUAGGGCUUCACACGUCAUACAAUGGUCGGUACAGAGGGUUGCCAAGCCGCGAGGUGGAGCCAAUCCCAGAAAGCCGAUCGUAGUCCGGAUCGUAGGCUGCAACUCGCAUGCGUGAAGUCGGAAUCGCUAGUAAUCGCGGAUCAGCAUGUCGCGGUGAAUACGUUCCCGGGUCUUGUACACACCGCCCGUCGACACCAUGGGAGCGGGUUC